GUCAAAGCGUUCAUUAAAGUCGAGUUGGCUUAGGGAUACGUUCGUUGGGUAGGGGAGCGUUCUGUAAGCCUGUGAAGGUGUGUCGUGAGGCAUGCUGGAGGUAUCAGAAGUGCGAAUGCUGACAUAAGUAACGAUAAAGCGGGUGAAAAGCCCGCUCGCCGGAAGACCAAGGGUUCCUGUCCAACGUUAAUCGGGGCAGGGUGAGUCGACCCCUAAGGCGAGGCCGAAAGGCGUAGUCGAUGGGAAACGGGUUAAUAUUCCCGUACUUGGUGUUACUGCGAAGGGGGGACGGAGAAGGCUAUGUUGGCCGGGCGACGGUUGUCCCGGUUUAAGCGUGUAGGUGUGUGUUCCAGGUAAAUCCGGUUCACUUUAACAC
rnacentral:rRNA from 2 species